CCUACGGGAGGCAGCAGUGGGGAAUAUUGGACAAUGGGGGGAACCCUGAUCCAGCCAUGCCGCGUGUGUGAAGAAGGCCCUCGGGUUGUAAAGCACUUUCAGUGAGGAAGAACGCCUGGUGGUUAAUACCCAUCAGGAAAGACAUCACUCACAGAAGAAGCACCGGCUAACUCCGUGCCAGCAGCCGCGGUAAUACGGAGGGUGCGAGCGUUAAUCGGAAUUACUGGGCGUAAAGCGCGCGUAGGUGGCUUGAUAAGCCGGUUGUGAAAGCCCCGGGCUCAACCUGGGAACGGCAUCCGGAACUGUCAAGCUAGAGUGCAGGAGAGGAAGGUAGAAUUCCCGGUGUAGCGGUGAAAUGCGUAGAGGUCGGGAGGAAUACCAGUGGCGAAGGCGGCCUUCUGGACUGACACUGACACUGAGGUGCGAAAGCGUGGGUAGCAAACAGGAUUAGAUACCCUGGUAGUC
rnacentral:rRNA from 1 species